rnacentral:tRNA from 1 species
AUUUAAAUAGCUUAUAAUUAGAGUGUUACACUGAAGAUGUAGGGGAGAUAAUUUUAUCUUUAAAUA